UGGGUUGUGGCUCAGUGGUAGAGUGCUUGCCUAGCACAUAUGAGACCCUGAGUUCAAUCCUCAGCACCACAU
rfam:Ictidomys tridecemlineatus contig061885, whole genome shotgun sequence.